rnacentral:lncRNA from 10 species
UCUCCCUAACAGCUUAGGCUGUCACAGCCUUCCAGAGGCCUCACCCAUCUUAGUAGGGUCUAUUGCUCCUGUUCCUUAAGCCCUAGCAGUCCCUCCACCCAGUAGGCCCUGAAACUGUAAUGCAGUCCUCUCAGGCUGAGGACCUGCUCUGUGCAAAGGCCUGAGAGGGAGGUGGAGAGAAGCCAGGCAGAGGCCAGAUAUAUUAGCAGUUUUCCUAGAACAGUUGCUAAAAUAGAGCAGACAGGGGCUAUGGGAGUUGAUCAAUAGAUAUUCAUUGAACAUCUACUUUGUGCUGCGAAUGAUUUCAGUCAUGAGGGACAUAGCAGACCAUAAAACAGAACAGGGGAAGCCUUCUUUAGAAGUGGUCCUGGUAUAUUUCUGUCAAUUGACAUAUAUUCACAAAUUCACGCAUCCACUUAAUACGUAUUUAUUGAGCUCCUUCUGUAUACGAGGCACUGUUCUUGUUGCUGAAAAUACAAAACUGAACAAAACAGAAAAGCUCCUGCCCUUGGGAGCUUAUGUUCUAGUAAGGAAAUGAAAUAAACAACAAACAGCGA